CGUGUCAAAAGCAAUUUGUAGUUUCAUGCUGGAUAUUUCUCUCUGGACAAUGCUCCACAAUCAGGUAGACUAGUUGAAGCUGAUAGCAGUCAAAUUGAAACAUUAAUUGAGAACAACCAAUGUUAUACCACAUGGGAAAUAACUAACAUA